UUAAGAGCUUAUGGGAAUUUUUCUAAAGGGGGAUGAAGGACGAUAAGUCGAAAAGCGGGGAAUGGCCAACAUUUUAAUCCCAGUUUUCCCGAAUGGGGCAACCCAGCAUGUUGAAAUUUACCCGAUUUAUCGGAGAGCAAACUAGGGAAAAACAUCAAGUACCUGAAGGAAGAGAAAAAAAAAAAGUGAUUCCGUUAGUAGGGCGAGCGAACGGGGAACAGCCCAAACCAGUGUUUUUAGGCAAACGGGGUUUUAGGACCAGACAUUUGAUGCUUGAUGAAUUGGGAAACCUCUGGGAAAAUGGAACCUAGCGGGUGAUAGUCCCGUACAAGUAAAGAAGUUAUCGAUAGUGGUAUCCUGAGUAGUGCGGGGCACGUGAAACCUUACAAUCUGCCGGGGCCAUCCGUAAGGUAAAUACCCUGAGACCGAUAGUGAACUAGUACCGUGAGGGAAAGGUGAAAAAAACCCCGAAUAAGGGGGGAAAUAGAUCCUGAAACCAUAAACUUACAAGCGGUCGGAGCCCCCGGGGAGGCGGGCCUUGCAUAAGAGCCCGGGUUUCCUUUCUGGCAAGGUUCACUUCAGGUGGGGUCCGAGCGAAAGGAGUCUGAAUAGGGCGUACAGUCAGCAGGGUAGACGCGAAACCGUGUGAUUAUCCAUGGGGAGGUUGAAGCUGGGGUAACACCCCGGAGGACCGAACCCCUUGACGUUUAAAAGUCCCAAACCCGUGGAUAGGGGGAAAAAUCAAACUCGGGAAAAAGCUCGUAUCCCCGAAAAGCAUUUAGGGGCAGGUUGUAUUAUUUAAGAGGGAUUGAUUGGUGGGGGCCACCGCCACCAAUUCCUGACAAAACCCCCAAGCUUAAAAUGAUGUACAGCAGUGAGGGGAUGGGGGCUAAGGUCCAUGUCCGAGGGAAAAAACCCGGGCCACCAGCUAAGGUCCCAAGUAUAUGCUAAGUUGAAUAAACGAGGUUUGACUGCCCAGACAGCUAGAUUUUGGGUUGGGAAACAGCCAUUCAUUUAAAGAGGGUAACAGCUCAUAGUCGAGGGGCGGCAUGGGUAAUAAUCGGGGAAGCAUAUCACCGAAGCUGGCAACGAAAGUUGGGGAGGGAGCAAGGGGCGCGAAGGUAAAACCCAGGUUUUGGAGUUUUUACAAAAAAAAAUGUGGCUGAACGAUAAUGCGGGCGAAAACCCCACACCGAAAACUAAGGCCCCCCCUACUAAUCAAUUUGGGGGUUUGUCGGGGCCUAAGGGAAACCCCAAAGGUAGUGGGGAAACAGAUUAAUAUUUCUGUACCUGCUCUCAUUUAAAGUGACGAAUCUCCCAGGUAUUUACGGGGGACGGAAUCCAGUUGAGCCAUCUGUUGCAGAGAAGCAAAAAAAAAGUAAGGUUCCAGAAAAGCAGAGAAGCAGCCCUUACCGCAAACCGACACAGGUAGUUGGGAUGAGUAUUCUAAGGUGCCUGAGUGAUUCAUGGCUAAGGAACAGGAAAAAUUUACCCCCAACUUGGGAAGGGGCGCCCCCCCUUUCGGGGGCCCCCGGAAUUUGGGCCCGGCGCUGUUUAUCAAAACAAGGGCUCUGCAAGACGAAAGUCGAUGAUAGGGUCUGACACCGCCCGGUGCCGGAAGGUUAAGUGGCGCUGUUUCUUUGGAGAAGCAGCAAAAGAAGCCCCGGUAAAGGGGGGGGAACUAUAACGGUCCUAAAGGGGGAAAUUCCUUUUUCGGGGAAGUUCCGACCCGCACGAAUUUCAACGAUCUGGACAUGUCUGGCCAUGAGCCGGGGGAAAUUGUAGUAUCGGUGAAGAGCCAUUUCCCCAGGGGCGAAAAAACCCCCGCCCCUUUUCUAUAGCUUGAUUGAUUUGGGUAAGUAAUGUAGCAUAGGGGAAGACUAUGAAGCUGCAUCGCAGAUGUGGUGGAGUCAAAAAGAAAUACCACCCUUUGCUUAUCUAGAGCCAAUCCGCCCCGGCAGACAGGGGGGUGGGUAGUUUGACGGGGUGGGCCCCCAAAAAAGUAACGGGGCCAAGGGCCCCCGCACGCUUGGUAACCGUGCGUAGAGUGCAAUGGCAUAAGGGCGCGACUGAGAGACCAAAGUCGAUGUACGAAAGAGAGCAUAGUGAUCCCGGGGGUUCCGAUGGGAAAGGGGCCCUCGCUCAAAGGAUAAAAGGUGCCGGGGAUAACAGGCGAUUCCCCAAGAGCUCAAAUCGAGGGGGGGGCACCCGAUGUCGGCUCGCCAUCCUGGGGCUGGGAAGGUCCCGGGGGGGGCUGUUCGCCCAAAAGGGCACCGAGCUGGGUUCAGAACGUCGGGGACAGUUCGGUCUCAUCUGUAGUGGGCGCUAGAAAUUUGAGUGGGUCUGACUUAGUAAGAGGGCCGGUUUGACCGCUGGUGAUUGUUGUUCCGCCGGAGAUCCCGAGUAGCUAGUCGGGGAAGGGAAAACGCGAAAGAUUAAGCACGAAACCCACCACAAGAUGAGUUUUUUUUAGGUCGUGGAAAACACGUUAUGGGGUCCGGGUUUAAAGGCAGAAUGUCAUAGCCGAGUGAUACUUU
rnacentral:rRNA from 1 species